GCGCCGAUGGGGUAGUGGUAACCUGGAUCGUUGCCAUAUUACAUGACUUUUCUGUCCUGCAACUGAAGUCGAUCCGCCGCGGGUUCGAUUCCCGCUCGGCGCA